rnacentral:tRNA from 1 species
GAGGUUAUAGCUUAGUGGUAGAGCGCAUGCCUAGCAUGCAUGAAGUCCUGGGUUCAAUCCCAAGUACCUCCA